CUUCCCAUGAAAAUCAUGCCGAUUCGAGGAAUCGAUGAUGUUGAUGAGAGAGAAGAUCCUUCUGUGAUGGUUGAGAAAGAGGUGACAGAAUCAGUUUCAAGCUCACCACAAGAUGUGCAAACUAACAGAAGUAGGGAAAAUGUCAUGAAGACUGAACCUUCUCAACAGAUUGGUAUCGAUGGAGAAGCGAGCAUGGAGGCCUCCAUGUCGGCUGAUGAUGUUUUACGGGCUGGAGGGUUUGGUGCGAGGGAUGAUAUUGGUAGUUUUCUUCCUGUUGCAAGUGAUUCUACUGACUUCGAGGCUACGAUUCGCAGUGCUCGAGCAUAUGAAGGACCACAGGGGGAGAUUUCUAGACCAGGUCUUGGCUGGAAAGAAGCUACAAAAACUGAGUAGUUCCGCUUUGAGCAUUUUGUUUGUGUCCAACUUCAGUCAUUUGGGUGGCUUUCUGGAAGAUCCUUUGUCCCGGGGCAAGAAUUGAUAAUGGGUCAUAGGCAGAUUUCCUCUCCAUCAGUACCCGCCAUUUGUUGCCAAAAUGAGCUUGCCACUCGUCUUGGGAGCUAUAAUGAGGCAGAUAUUGCGUACAUCCAGGAAGAUCCCUGACACAGUAGUCCAGAAUUAUUUGGUUUUGGGCUAAAAUGUUCUCUAAGCUUUGUUUUCCGGUUGAAGUUGGCAGUGCAGAAAACAAGAAACCCACUAGAGUUGAAGUACAUGGCCAUUUCUAGACAAUACAGUGUCGCUCUAUCUGAGACGAAUUGGCUGGCUUGAACUGGAUCAUUGGGAUCAAAUGAAGAUCUCCAAUUAUUGAGAAUGCCAGUUCUAUUUAUUAGAACAAAGCCUUCAAUAUAAUCAAAGGAGUACUUGGUGGAUAUCAGAUGUUCCUGGUCCUUGGAGAAUACGGCGAAAUCUGAAUACAAGGGUAUAUUACCAUUUUUGGUGCUGAUUCUAGAGAAAUCCUUGCCCUUGUGAUGAUGCCAAACUGACCAAGGCCUCCAAGUACGCUGUAAAACAGGUCUGCAUUCUGCUGCGCUGAACAGGUAAUAACCUCGCCCUUUCCUGCAUUCAAUUGAAACUACAUCGGUUUGUCUGCCUCCAAGGUUUUAAUAUUGAAAUAAUUCGAAGCUCGGUUUCUUUUGCUCUGAUGGACUUCGUUUUAGAUCUCUCUCUAUUUCUCCUUGGCUUUCUCCAUUUUUAGCGCUUUUGGCCCCUGGCAACCUCUCGUCAUUUUUUAUUUCUUAGAGAGGUUUAGGCUAUUUUCACACUGCUUCCAUUUCCCCUUUUUCGCAUCUUCCAUAUUGGGUUGGUUUCGAGACUCGGGACGUUAUACCAACGUUUUUAUUUUCCUUCCUUUUCACUAAAUGGAAGAUUAUUCCUUCAUGGGUUUGUUCUAAUUCUUUCAGUGGGGGUGGGGUGUUGGCCAAAAUGAAAGAGUCUAGGGGUCAACAGUUUCCAUCGUAAAAGGAAAUUACAAAAAUUCAUGUUAACUUGGGUGAUCUUUGUCGAUUCUUAAGAAGCUUCAGGUUGAUAAGAUUAUCCAUCUUUGCAUCGAAUUGUAAGCAAUACUUGCAAGGCUUCUUCGACUAUAUUAUAAACCACAAUAUUUACUUAUUCAACAUAAAUAAGAUUCCGAAUGUAUUUAAUAUCAUUUGAUUGUCAUGAAAUAAAAUUUAUUAUUGAAAAUUUUUAUGGUAAAUUGGAGAAGUUAAAUUAGGACCAACGAAUAAUUUUAUUUUUAGCAUAUCAAGGAAUUCUGUUUGUGAUUGAAAUUACUUGAGUUUUUCAGUCUCUUCAUCAAAUUUUAUAAUGGUCUAUAUUCAUGUUUCAUAAUUGGUUUAUGUUAUUGUUGCCCUCAAUUUUCUCAACAGUGAGAUUGUUCAUCUAAGUUGGAGGAGGAACAUAGAGUGAGCAAUUUAUAAUAAGUUGGGUGGUGAACUUUUUCUUCUCACCUAAGAGGAAUUACAGAGGAUCCCUACAGCCAAUAACACAAGUAGUAUUUAAAUUUUUUGCACUGUUACAUUGUUAUGGCGUUUAUGGACUAAGGAUUACAUCCCAAAGUGAAAUGAAAAAGGCAUCUCCAAAA